UUCUCAGUGGUGUGCAGUGAUAGAACAAGGGGAAGUGGGCAAAAACUGAAACACAGAAGUUCCUUACAAACAUGCAAAGAAGAACUUCUUCACUGUGAGGAUGGCAGAGCAUUGGACCAGGCUGACCAGCACAUGAUCAAAUACUUUGAUGGACGAGGAUCUGUAUUUCAGUGUCACAGAAGUCAAUUCUGAGUGGGGAUCUCGGCAAUUCCUGUUUCACUACAGUGCCUAGUGAUCUUGAAGGAAUGAAGAAAUCUAUCAUGCAGUCAAGUUACGAUUACUUGUAGAGUCCAUCUUAGAGAAAGAAAAGAAUGCCAAGGAGUAAACACAUAAAGUAGUUUUUAGUUGUGUUUCAAGUAGCAGAGUUUUGUGGAGCUGGUUGCGUACACAAACCGAAGGUAGAACAAGGUGUUAUGACUUCAAUCACUCUGACAGGAGUCAGAUUCAACAUCUAACUUCAGAUAUCGUAGCCCAGAGUAAAUAAGAUUCAUCAAGAAUCUGACAUCUGCUUUUAAGAACUCUGUUUAAAGGAGCAACUACCCAGAUAUGUGAAAGUUGACUUAUUUUGAGUAAAUUGGUAAUAGCUGUUAGCUUUGACAAUUGUCGUGGAGGUGUGCAGUGUGUUAAGUAUCCUUAAUAAUUAAUCUGUUUGUUUCAAAACAUCUCAGGAAAGUUUCAUUAGAAGGAAGCAGGGAUAGGUUCCUGGUGAGAUCUUCAGUGAAAAUAUCCCCUCCUCCCAGUCCUCCAUACGUGAUUGUUUUUGUUGCCAGAAAUCUUUGGCACUGUGCAGAAUUCCAGAGCUUGUUCCUAGAUGUGUGGGAAAGUAAUGCUGUUGAUGGCAAUUAGGAGAUAUGGUUGAAAGGUAUAGUAGUCUCCUAAUAGAAAAAGAACAGAUUAUUUUCUGGCUUGGAGAAAAUAAUGGUUGAUGGAAUGCUCAGCUAUAGGGAGG
ensembl:lncRNA